GACGAACGCUGGCGGCGUGCUUAACACAUGCAAGUCGAACGGACAGGCUCUGCUUUUGUUGGUUUCUCGAGUGGCGCACGGGUGUGUAACACGUGAGUAACCUGCCCUUGACUUUCGGAUAACUUCAGGGAACUGGGGCUAAUACCGGAUAUGAGCUCCUGCUGCAUGGUGUGCGUUGGAAAGUUUCGGCUGUUGGGGCUCGACUCGCGGCUUCUCAGCUUCUUUGUGUGGUAGUUGCUUACCAAGGGUGUGACGGGUAGCCGGCAUGAGAGGGUGACCGGCGACAUGGGGACUGAGAUAGGGAGCAGAAUGCAACGGGAGGCAGCAGUGGGGAACAUGGCACAAUGGGCGGAAGCCUGAUGUAGAAACGCCGCGUGCGGGAUGACGGCUUACGGGGGGUAAACCGAUGUCGCCUGUGACGAAGCGGGAGUGACGGUAAUGGGUAAAGAAGCACCGGCUAACUACGUG
rnacentral:rRNA from 1 species